GCUGACAUAAGUAACGAUAAAGCGGGUGAAAAGCCCGCUCGCCGGAAGACCAAGGGUUCCUGUCCAACGUUAAUCGGGGCAGGGUGAGUCGACCCCUAAGGCGAGGCCGAAAGGCGUAGUCGAUGGGAAACAGGUUAAUAUUCCUGUACUUGGUGUUACUGCGAAGGGGGGACGGAGAAGGCUAUGUUAGCCGGGCGACGGUUGUCCCGGUUUAAGCAUGUAGGCUGGUUAUCCAGGCAAAUCCGGAUAAUCAAGGCUGAGGUGUGAUGACGAGGCACUACGGUGCUGAAGUAACAAAUGCCCUGCUUCCAGGAAAAGCCUCUAAGCAUCAGGUAACAUCAAAUCGUACCCCAAACCGACACAGGUGGUCAGGUAGAGAAUACCAAGGCGCUUGAGAGAACUCGGGUGAAGGAACUAGGCAAAAUGGUGCCGUAACUUCGGGAGAAGGCACGCUGGUGUGUAGGUGAAGUCCCUGCGGAUGGAGCUGAGACCAGUCGAAGAUACCAGCUGGCUGCAACUGUUUAUUAAAAACACAGCACUGUGCAAACACGAAAGUGGACGUAUACGGUGUGACGCCUGCCCGGUGCCGGAAGGUUAAUUGAUGGGGUUAUCCGUAAGGAGAAGCUCUUGAUCGAAGCCCCGGUAAACGGCGGCCGUAACUAUAACGGUCCUAAGGUAGCGAAAUUCCUUGUCGGGUAAGUUCCGACCUGCACGAAUGGCGUAAUGAUGGCCAGGCUGUCUCCACCCGAGACUCAGUGAAAUUGAACUCGCUGUGAAGAUGCAGUGUACCCGCGGCAAGACGGAAAGACCCCGUGAACCUUUACUAUAGCUUGACACUGAACAUUGAGCCUUGAUGUGUAGGAUAGGUGGGAGGCUUUGAAGCGUGGACGCCAGUCUGCGUGGAGCCAACCUUGAAAUACCACCCUUUAAUGUUUGAUGUUCUAACGUUGGCCCCUGACCGGGGUUGCGGACAGUGUCUGGUGGGUAGUUUGACUGGGGCGGUCUCCUCCCAAAGCGUAACGGAGGAGCACGAAGGUUAGCUAAUCCUGGUCGGACAUCAGGAGGUUAGUGCAAUGGCAUAAGCUAGCUUGACUGCGAGCGUGACGGCGCGAGCAGGUGCGAAAGCAGGUCAUAGUGAUCCGGUGGUUCUGAAUGGAAGGGCCAUCGCUCAACGGAUAAAAGGUACUCCGGGGAUAACAGGCUGAUACCGCCCAAGAGUUCAUAUCGACGGCGGUGUUUGGCACCUCGAUGUCGGCUCAUCACAUCCUGGGGCUGAAGUAGGUCCCAAGGGUAUGGCUGUUCGCCAUUUAAAGUGGUACGCGAGCUGGGUUUAGAACGUCGUGAGACAGUUCGGUCCCUAUCUGCCGUGGGCGCUGGAGAAUUGAGGGGGGCUGCUCCUAGUACGAGAGGACCGGAGUGGACGCAUCACUGGUGUUCGGGUUGUCAUGCCAAUGGCACUGCCCGGUAGCUAAAUGCGGAAGAGAUAAGUGCUGAAAGCAUCUAAGCACGAAACUUGCCCCGAGAUGAGUUCUCCCUGAGACUUUAAGUCUCCUGAAGGAACGUUAAAGACGAUGACGUUGAUAGGCCGGGUGUGUAAGCGCAGCGAUGCGUUGAGCUAACCGGUACUAAUGAACCGUGAGGCUUAACCUU
rnacentral:rRNA from 1 species